rnacentral:rRNA from 1 species
GACGAACGCUGGCGGCGUGCUUAACACAUGCAAGUCGAACGGAAAGGCCCUGCUUUUGUGGGGUGCUCGAGUGGCGAACGGGUGAGUAACACGUGAGUAACCUGCCCUUGACUUUGGGAUAACUUCAGGAAACUGGGGCUAAUACCGGAUAGGAGCUCCUGCUGCAUGGUGGGGGUUGGAAAGUUUCGUCGGUUGGGGAUGGACUCGCGGCUUAUCAGCUUGUUGGUGGGGUAGUGGCUUACCAAGGCUUUGACGGGUAGCCGGCCUGAGCGGGUGACCGGCCACCUUGGGAGUGGGAUACGGCCCAACCCCCCACGGGGGGCAGGAGCGGGGAGCAUUGAUCAACGGGCGGAAGCCAGAUCCAGCAUGGAGGCGUGCGGGAUGAGGGCUUUCGGGUUGGAACUCGCUUUCGCGUGUGAGGAAGCGUGAGUGACUGUAAUGGUGAAAGAAGCACCGGUUAACUACGU